ensembl:lncRNA
GCGAAAGGUCCGGAUUAAGGAACGAACACUGAGUCCCCGGCAUUGGAGGUCACCCAUAAAAACGGGAAGAAAGCCUCUGGGAAUCUAUGCAGGCAACUGGAAGAAGUCCUCACAGAAUGGGGAGAGUAUUGUAUUGGGAGCAAUCCCUCAUACAAACAGAGGGACAACAUGGCCCCAUCCAAAAUACGAGUCGUAAUCUUCAUUAAGUUUAUGUGGAACGAGAAGUCUGGAGCCGGUUCAGACCUGGAAUAUGUCACAAAUUUCCAGAGGAUACACAAGUUUUUGAGGUAUUUGAAUGAGCUGUACAGCUCAAAGUCAUCCGGCGUGCAAAUCGAGGUGUCUCCACGUCGUCCACCUGCUCCAAAAAGAGAUUAAAUCCAUGGGAAAGGCGCUUCAAAGUCGUCAACAGGAGGUCCGGGCACAAAAAUCGGCUUCCAUCCCCACUGCCCAGGACGGUGCCCAUUGACCCUUCAGCCCCCAGAAGGAAGAUCAACCAGGUCCUGACCAUCUACAAUCUGUCAUCUCUACUCAAGUCUCUGCAAAAGAGUGCUGUAAAAGUAAUGUCUUGAAUUAUUUAAAUUGUUAUUCUUGUGUUUAAAAAAACUUCCCUGUCAAAAAUGGUGCUGUUUUUUAAAUAUCUGUGCAGGUUUCAAAAGGAAAAUAAAGU